UCCAUUGUUUCGGUAGCUGGAAAGAUGUGAUUUGAUUGCUUUGGCCUUGCGAGGUGUAGGGAGGGACGUUUGCUCGCUGCUCGUUCAUUCGGCUUGGUACUGGAAGGCGUGCCUGUCACGUCCGCUUCAUUUAGUGCCCUAAAUUACAGACAUGCCAAGGAUGCUGAUGGUGUCGAUGGCCUUCUGGUGAACCUCCUGCAAGGUACUGGAGAAGGAGCCAGGUUUGCCCUGUUUAAGAUGGCUGAUGGAGACGUGGACUCCCAGGAAGAUGGGGAGUAGCGCCUGCUCCCGCCACAGGACGAUGUCAGCUUCAACACCG